ensembl:rRNA 5S_rRNA 5S ribosomal RNA
GCUUACGACCACACCGGCCUGAGUACGCCUGAUCUCGUCUGAUCUCGGAAGCUAAGCAGGUCGGGCCUGGUUAGUACUUGGAUGGGAGACCGCCUGGGAAUACCAGUGCUGUAAGCU